GUGGGCCAGACCUGAAAGAUUGACGGACCAGAUCAGCCAGUCGACAGCCCUAACGACGGUGGAUAAGAUAUUAACCGAAUAUCAAGUUAUUAGAAGAUCCUAGCCGUUCCAUUGGUGGCUUCCAAAUAGGCGAUCUCACCUAAUGCAGGCGCCGGUCGGUGCUCCAGUCACACAGAGCUGAGUCGUCGGCUAGGUUGAGGGCUUCAUUGCCGUCCCGAGCAGGGAUGCGGAGUAGCUACUGAUGGCUUCGGUAGCCAUCUCAACGGAAGUGAUAUCACCAAGCUCCAUAGGCUCCACCAGAAUGUACGGUUGUACUCACACCGUUCAUCCAUUUGGAGAGAUCAUUUUAGAAGAUCAUGCAAAGAAUAAACCAAGUCCAAAAUUGAAGUAAACCC